rnacentral:rRNA from 1 species
UAGUCCACGCUGUAAACGAUGAGAACUAGCUGUUGGGUAUUAAUAUUUAGUGGCGCAGUUAACGCGAUAAGUUCUCCCCUGGGGGAGUACGGUCGCAAGGCUAAAACUCAAAGGAACUGACGGGGGCCCGCACAAGCGGUGGAGUAUGUGGUUUAAUUCGAAGCAACGCGCAGAACCUUACCUACCCUUAACAUUUCACGACGUAUACAGAGAUGUAUAUUUCUCUUCGGAGACGUGAGGAUAGGUGCUGCAUGGCUGUCGUCAGCUCGUGUCGUAAGAUGUCUGGUUAAGUCCAAUAACGAGCGCAACCCUUAUCCUUAGUCACCAGCAUUAAGUUGGGGACUCUAGGGAGACUGCCGGUGUUAAACCGGAGGAAGGCGGGGAUGACGUCAAGUCCUCAUGGCCCUUACGGGUAGGGCUACACACGUACUACAAUGGCAGAUACAAACCGUUUGCAAAGCCGCGAGGUUGAGCUAAUCGGUAAACACUGUCCCAGUCCGGAUUGGAGUCUGCAACUCGACUCCA